CCCUUCCCCUGGCACCGCCCUCUGGCCAGGGAAGCCCCGCCCUCCACUCUGACGGAGGGACUCCCCUGCCCCUCCUCGCCGGCUCAGGACUCCCCCUUAGUCUACGCGACCCGUCCCCCAUUUCAGGCUCCCCAGACUCCGCCUCCAUUUCCGGGGACUCCGGGAUUCUCCCAGAGACCCGGGCGCCCCCUCCCCACCGUAGAUCGCGGCCCUCACUUGGCGCUGGAGGUCCCUUUCCCAGCCUUAUGCCCGAGGACUCCCCACCCUCAGCUCCGACACCCCGCCUCCCAUCUGGGGGCGCCACGCAAUUAGAGGAGAGGAGGAAAAUGGCAAAGGCAAAGGGGGUGUGCGUCAGCGGUGGAGGCAGCCGCAGUUGACUAGAGUCGCAGACUUGUCUUCCAGCCCAGCUUGGGCAUCCCCCAUUUCCCUCCCCUCAGCCACCUCCCCUCUGGCAGCAAGUGUACACCACCCGACUUGCUGCAAGGGAUGGCAGGAUGGAGCCUCAGAGGUGCAGAAAAGAAAGCUUAUCUGCAUCAGUUUACACACCAGAAAGUCGAGGCUGAGGGAGGAGAGGAAACUUGCCCCAGGUCACAAGCCACGCAGAUGCAGAGCUGAUGCUUCCACCUGACACUGGACUGCAUGGAAGAAGGUCUGAGGGGGAUCACCAAGACUCACUGGAAAAGGAGGCAGGGAUUUCUCCUGAGGCAGAGUACUGGGAUUGGAGCUGUCUGGUGGGCACAGCCAGACGUUCAGGGGCCUCAGGGAGCCUGGGUGUGCCCGAUGCCAGGAUUGCCCAAGUCAGGGAGAGGAAGGGAGAAUUAGGACGCCAGCAGCAGAUACAGAUGCCGAAGUUCCAACCUUGGCUUCUGGCUCUAAAUCCAGCCCUCUGCCUCAAGAACUCCAGCUUCUUCAUCUCUCUAGGCCUCAGUUUCCUUAUGUGUAAAAUGGGAAUAAUAAUAAUGAUACCUACAUGUGGUGAAAUAAGAUUUUGCAGUAUUGUUUUGAAAUUCCUUUGUCAGCCCUCCCUUUUCUCUCUUUAAUCUAGAUCUUGUCCUUGUUGUGUCAAAGAAGGGGACAAAUAAAAGAACAAGAUAUAAGCUUUA